rnacentral:rRNA from 1 species
UUAAGCGACUAAGCGUACACGGUGGAUGCCCUGGCAGUCAGAGGCGAUGAAGGACGUGCUAAUCUGCGAAAAGCGACGGCGAGGUGAUAUGAACCUUUGACCCGUCGAUGUCCGAAUGGGGAAACCCAGUGUGUUUCGACACACUAUCGUUAACUGAAUACAUAGGUUAACGAGGCGAACCGGGGGAACUGAAACAUCUAAGUACCCCGAGGAAAAGAAAUCAACCGAGAUUCCCCCAGUAGCGGCGAGCGAACGGGGAGCAGCCCGGAGUCUGAAUCAGCUUGUGUGUUAGUGGAAGCGUCUGGAAAGUCGCACGGUACAGGGUGACAGUCCCGUACACGAAAAUGCACAGGUUGUGAACUCGAAGAGUAGGGCGGGACACGUGGUAUCCUGUCUGAAUAUGGGGGGACCAUCCUCCAAGGCUAAAUACUCCUGACUGACCGAUAGUGAACCAGUACCGUGAGGGAAAGGCGAAAAGAACCCCGGCGAGGGGAGUGAAAAAGAACCUGAAACCGUGUACGUACAAGCAGUGGGAGCACCUUCGUGGUGUGACUGCGUACCUUUUGUAUAAUGGGUCAGCGACUUAUAUUCUGUAGCAAGGUUAACCGUAUAGGGGAGCCGCAGGGAAACCGAGUCUUAACUGGGCGUUAAGUUGCAGGGUAUAGACCCGAAACCCGGUGAUCUAGCCAUGGGCAGGUUGAAGGUUGGGUAACACUAACUGGAGGACCGAACCGACUAAUGUUGAAAAAUUAGCGGAUGACCUGUGGCUGGGGGUGAAAGGCCAAUCAAACCGGGAGAUAGCUGGUUCUCCCCGAAAGCUAUUUAGGUAGCGCCUCGUGAACUCAUCUUCGGGGGUAGAGCACUGUUUCGGCUAGGGGGCCAUCCCGGCUUACCAACCCGAUGCAAACUACGAAUACCGAAGAAUGUUAUCACGGGAGACACACGGCGGGUGCUAACGUCCGUCGUGAAGAGGGAAACAACCCAGACCGCCAGCUAAGGUCCCAAAGUCAUGGUUAAGUGGGAAACGAUGUGGGAAGGCACAGACAGCCAGGAUGUUGGCUUAGAAGCAGCCAUCAUUUAAAGAAAGCGUAAUAGCUCACUGGUCGAGUCGGCCUGCGCGGAAGAUGUAACGGGGCUAAACCAUGCACCGAAGCUGCGGCAGCGACGCUUAUGCGUUGUUGGGUAGGGGAGCGUUCUGUAAGCCGUUGAAGGUGUGCUGUGAGGCAUGCUGGAGGUAUCAGAAGUGCGAAUGCUGACAUAAGUAACGAUAAAGCGGGUGAAAAGCCCGCUCGCCGGAAGACCAAGGGUUCCUGUCCAACGUUAAUCGGGGCAGGGUGAGUCGACCCCUAAGGCGAGGCCGAAAGGCGUAGUCGAUGGGAAACAGGUUAAUAUUCCUGUACUUGGUGUUACUGCGAAGGGGGGACGGAGAAGGCUAUGUCAGCCGGGCGACGGUUGUCCCGGUUUAAGCGUGUAGGUGUGUGUUCCAGGCAAAUCCGGUUCACUUUAACACUGAGGCGUGAUGACGAGGCACUACGGUGCUGAAGUGAUAAAUGCCCUGCUUCCAGGAAAAGCCUCUAAGCAUCAGGUAACACGAAAUCGUACCCCAAACCGACACAGGUGGUCAGGUAGAGAAUACCAAGGCGCUUGAGAGAACUCGGGUGAAGGAACUAGGCAAAAUGGUGCCGUAACUUCGGGAGAAGGCACGCUGAUAUGUAGGUGAAGUCCCUGCGGACGGAGCUGAAAUCAGUCGAAGAUACCAGCUGGCUGCAACUGUUUAUUAAAAACACAGCACUGUGCAAACACGAAAGUGGACGUAUACGGUGUGACGCCUGCCCGGUGCCGGAAGGUUAAUUGAUGGGGUUAGCGGCAACGCGAAGCUCUUGAUCGAAGCCCCGGUAAACGGCGGCCGUAACUAUAACGGUCCUAAGGUAGCGAAAUUCCUUGUCGGGUAAGUUCCGACCUGCACGAAUGGCGUAAUGAUGGCCAGGCUGUCUCCACCCGAGACUCAGUGAAAUUGAACUCGCUGUGAAGAUGCAGUGUACCCGCGGCAAGACGGAAAGACCCCGUGAACCUUUACUAUAGCUUGACACUGAACACUGGUCCUUGAUGUGUAGGAUAGGUGGGAGGCUUUGAAGCGUGGACGCCAGUCUGCGUGGAGCCGUCCUUGAAAUACCACCCUUUAAUGGCUGGUGUUCUAACGUGGACCCGUGAUCCGGGUUGCGGACAGUGUCUGGUGGGUAGUUUGACUGGGGCGGUCUCCUCCCAAAGAGUAACGGAGGAGCACGAAGGUUAGCUAAUCCUGGUCGGACAUCAGGAGGUUAGUGCAAUGGCAUAAGCUAGCUUGACUGCGAGAGUGACGGCUCGAGCAGGUGCGAAAGCAGGUCAUAGUGAUCCGGUGGUUCUGAAUGGAAGGGCCAUCGCUCAACGGAUAAAAGGUACUCCGGGGAUAACAGGCUGAUACCGCCCAAGAGUUCAUAUCGACGGCGGUGUUUGGCACCUCGAUGUCGGCUCAUCACAUCCUGGGGCUGAAGUAGGUCCCAAGGGUAUGGCUGUUCGCCAUUUAAAGUGGUACGCGAGCUGGGUUUAGAACGUCGUGAGACAGUUCGGUCCUAUCUGCCGUGGGCGCUGGAGAAUUGAGGGGGGCUGCUCCUAGUACGAGAGGACCGGAGUGGACGCAUCACUGGUGUUCGGGUUGUCAUGCCAAUGGCACUGCCCGGUAGCUAAAUGCGGAAGAGAUAAGUGCUGAAAGCAUCUAAGCACGAAACUUGCCCCGAGAUGAGUUCUCCCUGAGACUUUAAGUCUCCUGAAGGAACGUUGAAGACGACGACGUUGAUAGGCCGGGUGUGUAAGCGCAGCGAUGCGUUGAGCUAACCGGUACUAAUGAACCGUGAGGCUUAACCUU